UGACAACCCUAGAGAUAGGGCUUCCCCUUCGGGGGCAGAGUGACAGGUGGUGCAUGGUUGUCGUCAGCUCGUGUCGUGAGAUGUUGGGUUAAGUCCCGCAACGAGCGCAACCCUUGAUUUUAGUUGCCAUCAUUCAGUUGGGCACUUUAAGGUGACUGCCGGUGCCAAACCGGAGGAAGGUGGGGAUGACGUCAAAUCAUCAUGCCCCUUAUGACCUGGGUUACCCACGUGUUCCAAUGGCCAAACCAAAGGGCAGCAAAACCGGGAGGUUAAGCCAAUCCCCCAAAUCCGUUUUCAGUUCGGAUGGCAGUUUGCAACUCGCCUGCAUGAAGCUGGAAUCGUUAGUAAUCGCGGAUCACCAUGCCGCGGUGAAUACGUUCCCGGGCCUUGUACACACCGCCCGUCCCACCCCGGGAGUUUGUAACACCCGAAGUCGGUGGGGUAACCUUUUGGAGCCAGCCGCCGAAG
rnacentral:rRNA from 1 species